ensembl:lncRNA
GUCAGCAAAGAUGGAGAACCACUGAUGUAGUCAGUGAGAAGUAAUAGGGGCUAUUUUUCAGAACAGCGUUUUGAGUUAAUUUGAAAGGAGGGAAAAUCUCAGGGCGAAGGUUAUUGUGGUGAGGUUAUAAGGUGAGGUCAAAGGUUAGCAAGGAGGUCUGGGUGGGCAUGGGGUCAGUUACACAGUAUGCUCUUAAAUGAUAGCGGGUAAAGUGAGCUGAACUUAAUCUGAAAAAAAAGCAAAAAAAGGAGUUCUGGCAUCCUAAGGUGGUGUUCAGCAAAGGGCAGUGUCAGGACAGUACCUCAGCUGAAGACCUUCAGGUCCAUGGAAGACAGUGCAUGGAUUAUUCUGAAGAAUGACUUUCCGACAAUCUGCCCCCAGCUGUGUGUUGCAAUGCACGUGGCGGAGCUGCGCUUCCAAAGAGGCUGGCUCAGUGGGGCUGCGGUGAUGUCUCCUUCCAGGUCCCAGCAUGGAUGACCCUGUUCUUCUUGGAGAAGAAGAGAGGAAAAAUUUUUAGUGACAACACAGGAACACACAAAAAAGAAGUGCUGGAGGAUGUCCUCUGUGGCUGUAGAGGCUCCACACCGUGUUGGGGUGAGGGCUGAGAUGCCGGGAGGAGGCCCAGGAGUCAGGUCAUCACUGGCUGGGCAGGUGGACUAGAGAUAUUGCUGCUCUUUCCUGGAUCAUCUUGGAGAGGUUCCAUCGAGACUCCCUGGGCUCACUUGGAACUCAUUACCAAAUGUCUAUGCCUCCACGCCUGUCCCCUCAGCCCGCACAGACACAGCCAGCAGCCCAGAACUGCCAGCUGGCUCACCACCGAAAUGAGGGUGAGCACCGGUAAGGAAAGAAAGCCAUCCAAGGCGUCACUUCCCUGCCCUCCUCAGAGAGGACAGCCGGGCCAUUCUCGUGAUUAAACCGACUAACCACCCCCGCCGGCUCUGUGAUGGCUUCUCCUGACCAUGGUGGUUGCUGAUUAAAGAGAAGCUGGAUUUUCUUAGAAGAAACUUAAAACUAUAUAGAGAAAGAGAGAUGGGGUGAGGGCCUCAACUGCAAUGUUCUUGGUGGGAACCACAGUUUCCUCAACCCAUCUUCACUCUCAUGACACCCAGCGCCCCAGACGCCCAGGAGACAGCCCAGAGGACACAUGCUAUUGCCCAGUAAGUGCACGUGUCUUGGGGGCACAGCGCUCUAGCCCUGCUCUCACCCAGCUUGUAUGGAUUCCUCCUGAGUGUCAGGCACCAUGCUGGGCCCUGAGGGCAAAAGCGAGCUGUGUCAGGCUGCAUCUCCCACUGGGAGGCUGGCCAGCACGCUGGGAGCGUAUCAGGGAGGGUUUCAGGCAAUCCUCCCAGGUUCUUCCAUGCUGCAAAGCCACCUGUGUGUCUUGCUUUAUAGACUGCAGAACUGCAGCUCGGCCUCAAAGGCUACCGUGUGUCCCUCGGGCUUGGGAGCAAUGACCUGUGUGCUGGCAGCUCUCCCAGCAGGAAUAGGAAGGCUGUACUUCAAAUACGGUUUCCUGUAAAAAAAAUAAUAAUAAUAAUAAUUGAAAUCAGGCAUUACCCUGGUGUUUACCAUCUGUGUGCCUGCCUUUUGUGGCCUGGACUCUUGGCUCUCACUGGAGUUGCUGCUGAAAAGCUGAUGACUCAGCAUAGCAGUGGCUCAGGAUUUCUGUGUGGGGGGUGGCAUUGUGGUCAAGGGUAGGGCUCCUGUUUAUUGGGCACACUGGUUAUUUGGGGGAUGCUGAUGGAGACUGUGGGAGGGUUCAACCCUCUCCCACCACCCCCACCUUGGCAGCUCCCCAAACGGAGCCUUUGUUCCAGGAGCAAAGGCAGCCCUGGGGGUCAGGAGAGCUGCAGCCUGGUUCCGGGUCUAAUUAGCUGCGGGACUUUGCACGACCCCAGAAUUUUUCGAAGCCUUGGGAUUCCCAUCUGUAAAGAGAUUGGGUUUGGACCACGUCGUCUCUAAAAUCCCUCCCAGUGAUUCUAGGCCUUGGAGGAAGGAAACUGUAUUGGAGAUACGGUCCCCAACCCUGAAAAAGCUAAUGAUGGUGAAAAUAUAGCUCCAAAGAAAAAUCGCAUGAAACAACAAAUGGCGAAAGUAACGAGUUCCUGCUUUUUGUCCACUAACAUCUAUCACCACUACUUCUGGCAACAGCCCCUAAUUUCCAUUUGGGAAGCUCAUGAGGUUCUGCUUGCAGGGGUGGAGGCCACAACCUAAAAUAUAUCCUGAGUCUGGCCACUUCUCACCAGCUCUACCGCUACACUUUUCCCAGCCACUACUGUCUGUCCCUGCUUCCCCCCACCCCGCCCUCUCCACACAGCAGCAAGGGGAUCUUUUCAUUGCUACCUAUUUAAUAUGUGUGGGGUUUUUUUUGAUUGAGACAUAAUUGACAU